rnacentral:lncRNA from 1 species
AAUAAAAGACAACAAAAAGCCCACAAUAAAAAUACAUAUAGGCCUAAUUAACAACAAUCCAAUAGAUAAGAGCCCAUAACCCAGUUUCAAAAGAAAUAAAUAAGAGCCCAUAACCCUGAAUCACUAUAAAAGGAAAAACCCUAGCACCACUACGCUAUACUCUAGCCAACCGAGCUGAAGCAGCCAUCAAGACAUGAGGGAAGCCACCAACGGAGCAGCUAGGAACCUAGAGCCCGAUCGAUGAGAACACCACCUUG